UGUAUUUCUGUGCUCACUGGCUGUUUGGACAUUCACCAUGGAGGUGUUCUGCCAGUAUGCUGUUCAUCCUGUGGAGUGUGCUGUGGUGCUGAGGGUAUUCUUGAGCCAAACGCUGGAGGCUCCAAUGCUGUGACUCCAGUUGCCAUUGGUGUGUACCGUCCCUCCUUAACAGCAUGCAGGUGUUUGGCCCGAGUCUGCAGCACGGGCAGACGAUACAAAUUCUGCAGAAGUGACCACAGAAUCAUGGGUGACAGACUUAAACAUCAGAUAGUUACAAAACAUUAGUUAAACAUAAGAUUGUUUAGGACCUACAUCUUAAUUCCAAAAGGACCCUGCCC
rnacentral:lncRNA from 1 species